UUUUUUUUUUUUUUUUGUCUUUUAGGGCCGCAUCUGCAGCAUAUGGAGGUUCCCAGGCUAGGGGUUGAAUAGGAGCUGCAGCGCCGGCCUAUACCAGAGCCACAGCACCACGAGAUCUGAGCUGCGUCUGUGACCUACACCACAGCUCACAGCAACACCAGAUCCCUAACUCACUGAGCGAGGCCAGGGGUUGAACCAGCAUCCUCAUGGAUGCUAGUCAGGUUAUUAACCACUGAGCCACAAUGGGAAUUCCCCUAGUCGGUUUCUUAACCCACUGAGCCACAACAGAAACUCCUGGGAGCACAUUUUGAGAACCACUGGGAAGCAGAUUAGUUUUGCUGAGACCCUGAAGACUGCACACUGCUUUCAGUCUCACCGAGAUGUGGCACCAAGUCCAGUUUCUUGCACAUAAGCACAUUCUUCCACUCAGGUGUGGCCACAUGGCAAAGGGGCCUGAACAGAAAAGUUUUCUGGGGUUGAAGUUCCUUAAUGGUUUCCUAGGCUUUUCAAUUCAGAGUCCCCACAGAAAUGCACCUGACCUGCCUUUGGGUUGGCUGAGAACCAGCAGGUAGCAGAGCCUCUGGGAAAGGGACAAGCUGGAACAGAAGAGAGAGGUUGUUAAUGGGGAAGAAUGGUGGUAUUGACGGCUUGUGGGAUUCUUAGCCCUCUGUGCCACGGCGGGAACUCUUUUUUUUUUUUUUUAAAUUUUAUUAGGGGUGUAGUCGAUUUACAGUGUUGUAUUAGCUUCAGGUUCACAGCAAAGUGAAUCACUUAUACACACACACAUAUCUGUUCUUUUCCCACCUAGGUUAUUACAGAACAUUGAGUAGCCUUCCCUCUGUUUUCCCCUGAGGUCCCAUCCUCUACCGAGAUGGACAUGAAGGAGCACUGCCCACAGCUUCCUUCAGGGAGGAUCUGCUGCCCAACCUGCAUGCUUUUGGCAUAAAGCCAUCUCCAGGGACUCCCUCAGAUGCAGGUCAUCUUGCUGGGGUAGCACGCAGCCAGUGAUGGGUGGAGGGAGACAUGUUAGGGUAUUUUGCCCUGUGCAGGGCACCUGUGCCCCACAAUGUUGGCCCCUCUCACUUCUGCCUCUUUCUCUCCUGCACAGGUAUGGGUUUCCAAGGCAGUGCCCUGGUGAACACCCUCCCCUGUGACCCCACCUCAGAGAGGGGGUCCUGAGGAUCCACCUGCCAUGUCCAUCCCUGGACCUCCCCCUCCUCUGUCUCAGACCUGCUGAGUUUAGAGACUGAAUACAAGUGCAGCUUUGUUUUCCUGCCAUUUGUCUUCCAUUCUCUAAGGACACUUGCUUACCUUACACUUCAUUUUUUUUUUUUUUCUGCUUUUAGGAGAAAGCCCUGUCGAGUCCCUUGGGUUGUUUCUGAGAGCGGGUGACACAGCCAGCCCUUUCCUCCUGGCAUGCUACCUCACAGAUUCUCAUCUCUGGGUGAGGUGACACGGGCAUGGCUGUGAUCACAAUGUAGGUGGCAAGAGCAAAGCAAGGGGUGCAAGCUGAAAGUUCACCAGACUUGACUGUUGACAUAAAUAUAUUCACAUGUGUUCAAAACACACCCCUGAAAAGAAUGAGGAUGCUCUUUUAAGCACUGAUUUGAAAUGAUCUCCAAUAUACAUUACUAUAUAAAAAAGUCAAGGUGCAGGGAGUUCCCUGGUGGGCUAGUGGUUAGGACUCGGCACUUUUAACCUUGUGAACAGGGUUCAACCCCCGGUUUAGGAAAUGAGAUCCCACACCAAGGUGCCACACGCUGGGACAAAAAAAAAAAAAAAAAAAAAACAAAGGGCAGAUCGGAUCCACUGCCAAUUGUGUGGGAAUAUGUGUUAAGUAUAUACUCACGUAGCCAGAAAAGGCGGCUGGAGCUGCAAACUUGCUGCCUGGGGGUGGGGUGGAGGCUGGGAACCUGUAGGACCGCGGAGGAAGGAAGAUGUUUUCAUGGCUUGCUUUCUAUCGUUGCAGAAUUUUGAAUUGUGUGGGUUUUGUACUAUGUGCUCUCUUAGCUUAUUCAAGAAAUAAAUCUACAGCAGUUCCCAUUGUGGCGGAGUGGAAACGGAUCUGACUAGGAACCAUGAGGUUGCAGGUACGAUCCCUGGCCUCGCUCAGUGGGUUAAGGAUCUGGUGUUGCUGUGGCUGUGGUGCAGGCUGGCAGCUGUAGCUCUGAUUCAACCCCUAGCCUGGGAACCUCCAUAUGAUGCAGGUGCGGCCCUAAAAAAAAUAAAAGAAAGAUCUAGGAGUUCCCUGGUGGCUCAGUGGGUUGAGGACCUGGCGUUGUUGCUGUUGUGGCUAGGGUCACUGUUGUGACGUGGGUUCAGUCCCUGGCCUGGGAACUUCUGCAUGCCACAGACAUGACCACAAGAAAGGAAGGGAAGGAAGGAAGGAAGGAAGAAGGGAGGGAGGUGGGGAGGGAUCUAACCCAUCCAUGACAAGCUGUAGUGGAGAUUACACUUCUUUGGAGAAUGGCAGGGAAUGAGUGCCUUUGGUGGCCUGGGGGUGCUGGGUGGGGGCUGGCAUGCACUUCAUGGGUGGUAGCUCUGAGUGGGCUCUGGAGGUAGUGGCUGGCAGAGCAGGCAAGGGGUCUAGGUCAGAGUCUGCUGGGACUGAGCCUGGCAUGGAAGCAGGGGACCGAGGGUUCCCUCCCCUCCCUAGACACCCCGCUUUGCCCCACUGCUCAGAACGGAACCUAGCUAGGGCACCCUGGGCAGACCAGUCCUUUCUGCAGCAGCUCCAGUCCCAGGGCUCUGGUUGCACUGCCAGGAAGUGGACCAGCUUCCUUUUGGUCUGACUGAGUCUCUGGGGGUCUUGAAUGAUUGAGGACACAGGGCGAAGGUGGCCCAAGGUUGUGGAACUGGAUGUCUCGCUGACCCGGCCGGCUACUAGUGGUUUGGAACACGAACACACUCCACGCUGAUGGCUGCCAGAGCUGUCUGCACCUGGAGCCCCGAGUCUGAGCUUCACAUCGUGUCACUUGAGUCUGAGCUUCAUAUUGUGUCACUUGUGUCUGGGAUGCCUUUGUGUGGCUGUCUCACAGCAGCGACAACGUCUGUGUGUCCUGAACUAAACCUCGCCAACAUCACCCCCUCCAUUUUCUCCCCUCAGGUCUCUCUUGGUUAGGGCCAGAAGCCCUGCAUUGUUCCCAACCUCCCCCAUCUCGCCUUCAUUUUUUACAACUGCAAGUCACGCCUUUGCCCUGAGAGGAGCUGUGCUAGCUGGGGGACAAAUGCCAAGCCCCUGAGCCUUUCUUGCAGGUCCCUGUGACGUGAUGGGCCCUCUAUCUUCUCUCUCACCCAGCUCCUCACCUCCCCUCGGUCCCCGCAGCCCUCAGCCCUCAGCCCUCAGCCUUCAACCUGAGUUCUCACCCCCUUCCCACCUAGGGGCUCCUCCUUGCCUUUACAUCUCCAGCAGAGCGGCGGCUCCAUGGGUCCUUCUUGAUCUCCAGUCUGGGGUUGGGGCCCCUCCACCUGCUCCCUGGUCCCCCACCCCGCUACAAGCUUCUGCACAGCAGGGGUCACUCUGAAGGGUGCAUUCAGUCUCCUGGCCUUCUGGGAGCCCCCCAGGGCAAGAUGCAGUCGGAGCCCAGCGCUGUGCUGGAUGACAGGUGGGUCUCAACAGCGCUAAGUGGGUGCAGCCAAUGAUCCGCACCCCUCCUGCUGGUGGAAAGAAGCUGGGAGGGGCCUGAACUCCACCACCCGCCCCUCAACCCAGCCCAGCGCUCACUGCAGGCGGCUCUGCUGUGGACUCUCGGACAAGGAGGUGGAAAUGCCCGGUAAAAGCACUCUUUCAGGUUUCUAAGGUCCCCCCCGCUUUUUUUUUUAAAACCCUUUCAAGGGGCUUUCCCUGAAUUUCCCAAGCUUCUAACCGCUGUGAAAUUAAGGAAGAAAGUGAAUUGGCACUUACUGGGGUCCUGACCUUGAGACAAUUUCCUCUCUAGACUCGACAUUAAAAAUAACAAACCUCUAGGGUGGGGACCUAGAAUCCCAUUUCCUGGCCAAAUACAUCCUGUCCUAUUUCUGGGACUGAUCGCAGCACUAAUUAAGGAGGUAGUACAGCUGCCCUGCUCUCACACACCUGUCUCCUGCUGAUAGGACUGGCUACAGAAGGGAGACGAACUGUCUAAAAAUAAGCGGGUUGGAAUUCCCCUCAUCGAGCAGUGGAAAUGAAUCCUAGAGUACCCAUGACGAUGAGGUUUGAUCCCUGACUUUGCUCAGUGGGCCAGCGAUCUGGCGUUGCCAGAGCCAGAGCUGUGGUGUAGGUCGUAGAAGGGUCAGAUCCCCGGCUGCUGUGGCUGUGACCUGUAGCUGGGUAGCUGUAGCUCCGAUUGGACCCCUAGCAUGGGAACUUCCAAAUGCUGAGGGUUCGGCCCUAAAAAAAGAAACAAAAACAAAAAACAAAAAAACAGCGAGUCUACAAGCCCGUCCUCAAGGAAGUUGUAGGUUUCCUCUGGGCUUGAGUGGGAUGGAUACGAUGUGGAUAUCGGGGAGGAGGGGUGGUGGGGUGGGGAUUGGGAGGCAGAGGGGCAGAGUUCCCAUGGCCAGUGGCAGGGGUGGGGAUGGGGAUGAGGGGUGGGGGAGGCAGAAUUCCAGGGCUGGCCUGUCCUCCUCCACAGCCAGACUCCUCUGCUUGGCUCCAAGUUCCUGUCUCUGGGGUAAGAGGGCCUGGCACAAACAGAGGAAACAUUUUGAGGACCUACCGCCUUUCCUGGCCCCUCUGCCUCCUCAGCCGAGGCUGCAUCUCUGCAUGGGUGGGGAGGGUCUAAGGGGAGAGUCACUGAUGCCAGGAGAGAGGUUCUGCCUAUACCCUGGCUAGUUUAGACACAGAGACUCAUUUCUCUCUGCGCUGAGCAGCUGAGCUCAGGUUCUGAUGCAGGCCCCUGUCCUUGCUGUGAAGAAUCACCUUCUUACCAUGCCCUCCCCUGGCAAAGAGAAGGGGAGAGGGUCUCAGGUAAGGGCACUAAACCCUCCUAAGGCCCCUCCCUGAUGUGAAAUAAAAGUCACAUUUUUAUGGUAAAACAAGAAAAAUGUAAACAUAGGAGUUCCCUUCAUGGCUCAGUGGUUAAUGAAUCUGACUAGCAUCCAUGAGGACGCAGGUUCCAUCCCUGGCCUUGUUCAAUGGGUUAAGAAUCUGGCUUUGCCAUGAGCUGUGGUGUAUACCAGCAGCUGUAGCUCCAGUUUGACCCCUAGCCUGGGAAGCUCCAUAUGCAGCAGGUGCGGCCCUAAAAAAAAAAAAAAAAAAAAAAAGAAGAUCAAAGUGUAAAUAUAAAAAUCCUUCUCUGCCCUUUGGCCUUCUCUCUCCCCUAUUGUGCAUAUGUAUCUGCAUUUUGCAUCAGCCCCAGGAAUGGGCAGGAACACCUGAUUCACCAUCAAGAACAAUAUUCUCCCAGCAGCAACAAGUCAGCUCCUUAAAGACCACAUUCCUUCUUGAUCCUAGAAGGGGUCACAUGACCCACCAUGAUGACCCCUAGGUCUGGAUUAUGUGAACUGUUAAUAAUAUGUCAUUUAAUGUGCAGUCCUUUGUCUCAAAAGCUUAUAUAAGCUGUGUCUUGACUCCUAACCCAUGGAGCAGUACUCACAGCUUUCUGAGGUGCUCUUCC
rnacentral:lncRNA from 1 species